rnacentral:rRNA from 1 species
UAGGAACUGCGGACGCACGCCCCCCCGUAUUUCCAUCCCAAACCCUUUUAAAAAAAAAACCUUUUCCCGGGGCGGGUUAGCCCUCCUUGUUCCUAGGGUCCUCAUCCGCGAAGGCCCCGAGGGGUUUCGCGCCCUUUUUAUUUUGAUUUUGGAGAGUGGUAUAACCAGGCGGAAUUCGCCUCCCAAUACGUUACCAUGGUAUAGAGGAAUUAAAUCUCGGUCGUGUAUCGUUGGUUUCUCUUGGCAGAAAUAAAGAAUGAUAUAAACAGGUGGGGGAAUUCGUAUUUAGCGGACAGGGGAGAAAGUGUACGAAAAAAAGAAGAGGGAAUAAUGUUUUAUUAUUAUAAAAGGAUGUUAAUAAAAUCAAGACGGAUGAUAAAGUAUGCAACAACGAUCAAAUUUCCACCAACAAAAUAAAAAAAUAAAUGUUAAAAUGAUUCAGUAGAUUAUUAUGAAAGCCUACCAAACAACAUACAGUAAAUCAACGAAGUUAGAAGUUUUACG